rnacentral:ribozyme from 1 species
UUUUUUUUUUUUUUUUUUUUUUCUAAUGACUCAACAUGAGA